GGAAAAAAUACUAAAAUAAAAUGGACGGAAAUUUAAAUAAAUACACGCUCUAUCUGCCACAUUCAGCGAGGUACAUCGAAAUAGUGCAGUGAUUAAAGAUCAAGCGGCUCAGUUGGCUAUGCCAUCUCUAACGAAUUAACUCAAACGCUCCACCUCUGAAAACAUGCGAUGCGGUACUUACUCGGUGGCAAAGGACGACAAAGAUGUCGAAUUACCUGUAAAUCAUUGCCCGGAGAGCAUGGGGAAAAAACUACAGGCGCAAUUUGUUUGACUAGACCAAAACAUAUGCGAUUACUACGCCCAUCAAGAAAAUAAGAGGAUUUGAAAGUAAGUUUGAAACUAGUUUUGUACCUGAAUAAUGUUAAAUUUCGUGACGUCUGGCUAUUACCUAAGUACAAAAGACUAAUCCGAGAACCAUUAAGGAGAUGAAAACAUAAUCUGUUUGCGCUAUUCCGGAAAUCGAUUUCAAUAAAUGUUUACAGAUUUGGAGAAACUACAGGCUUAAAUAUUAUAUAUUGUAUCGGAGGGUGGUCAUACAUUAAAGGUUAUGAUAUAGAUUUAAAAGAAUAAAUAGGGAUUUUAAGUGUUAUAUCCAUUUUUACUUGAUGGUAGGCGUACUCGUAAGAUCGGAAAAUUCGUAUAAUCACAGCCAGAAAUUCUUCGACCUUACACUAUCACAACACUUUUCCUUUUGUCGAAUCAUAU